rnacentral:rRNA from 1 species
UAAUACGAAGGGGGCUAGCGUUGCUCGGAAUCACUGGGCGUAAAGGGCGCGUAGGCGGAUCUUUAAGUCGGGGGUGAAAGCCCAGGGCUCAACCCUGGAAUUGCCUUCGAUACUGGAGAUCUUGAGACCGGAAGAGGUAAGUGGAACUGCGAGUGUAGAGGUGAAAUUCGUAGAUAUUCGCAAGAACACCAGUGGCGAAGGCGGCUUACUGGUCCGGUUCUGACGCUGAGGCGCGAAAGCGUGGGGAGCAAACAGGAUUAGAUACCCUGGUAGUCCACGCCGUAAACGAUGGAUGCUAGCUGUUGGCCGGCUUGCCGGUCAGUAGCGCAGCUAACGCUUUAAGCAUCCCGCCUGGGGAGUACGGUCGCAAGAUUA